rnacentral:lncRNA from 1 species
GGUAGAAGCCCUUAGAGCUGUGUGAGCUAACCUAGCAUACCAUUGUUGCUUCUUGGUGGGAACAUAGUGCUUAUAUGUCUUAUGCUUAGGCCUGACAUGAGGGGCUUGAUUAGGGUAACCAUGAAGCCUGUAGCAGAAGGCUUUUAUAUGCCCAAGCCUACCACAGUGGUGACACCUCCAUCCCUGGUAUUUCCUCUUCUGAU